rnacentral:tRNA from 1 species
UCCUUGGUGGUUCAAUGGUUGGGACUCUGCACUCCCACUGCAGGGGGCUCAGGUUCAACCCCUGGUGGGGGAA